rnacentral:rRNA from 1 species
UACGGGGGGAGCAAGCGUUGUUCGGAUUUACUGGGCGUAAAGGGCGCGUAGGCGGCCUGCUAAGUCGAACGUGAAAUCCCCGGGCUCAACCCGGGAACUGCGUCCGAUACUGGCAGGCUUGAAUCCGGGAGAGGGAUGUGGAAUUCCAGGUGUAGCGGUGAAAUGCGUAGAUAUCUGGAGGAACACCGGUGGCGAAGGCGGCAUCCUGGACCGGUAUUGACGCUGAUGCGCGAAAGCCAGGGGAGCAAAGCGGG